rnacentral:rRNA from 1 species
GAUCAUGGCUCAGGAUGAACGCUGGCGGCGUGCUUAACACAUGCAAGUCGAACGAAGCACUUAAGAUUGACUCUUCGGAUGACGUCUUUUGUGACUUAGUGGCGGACGGGUGAGUAACGCGUGGGUAACCUGCCUCACACAGGGGGGAUAACAGUUAGAAAUGACUGCUAAUACCGCAUAACCCGAUAGGAUCGCAUGAUCCAGACGGAAAAGAUUUAUCGGUGUGAGAUGACCCG